AUUGAACGCUGGCGGCAGGCCUAACACAUGCAAGUCGAGCGGAUGAAGGGUGCUUGCUUCUGGAUUUAGCGGCGGACGGGUGAGUAAUGCCUAGGAAUCUGCCUGGUAGUGGGGGAUAAUGUCUGGAAACGGGCGCUAAUACCGCAUACGUCCUGAGGGUGAAAGAGGGGGAUCUUCGGACCUCUUGCUCUCAGAUGAGUCUAGGUCGGAGUAGCUAGUUGGUGGGGUAACGGCCUACCAAGGAGACGAUUCGUAACUGGUCUGAUAGGAUGAUCAGUCACACUGGAGCUGAGACGCGGUCCUGGCUCCUACGGGAGGCAGCAGUGGGGAAUAUUGGACAAUGGGCGAAAGCCUGAUCCAGCCAUGCCGCGUGUGUGAAGAAGGUCUUCGGAUUGUAAAGCGCUUUAAGUGUGGAAAAAGGGCAGUAAGUUAAUACCUGGCUGUUUUGACGUUACCAACAGAAUAGGCACCGGCUAACUUCGU
rnacentral:rRNA from 1 species